rnacentral:rRNA from 1 species
GUAGGUGGCAAGCGUUGUCCGGAAUUAUUGGGCGUAAAGCGCGCGCAGGCGGUUCUUUAAGUCUGAUGUGAAAGCCCACGGCUCAACCGUGGAGGGUCAUUGGAAACUGGAGAACUUGAGUACAGAAGAGGAAAGCGGAAUUCCACGUGUAGCGGUGAAAUGCGUAGAGAUGUGGAGGAACACCAGUGGUGAAGGCGGCUUUCUGGUCUGUAACUGACGCUGAGGCGCGAAAGCGUGGGGAGCAAACAGGGAUUAGAUACCCUGGUAGUCCACGCCGUAAACGAUGAGUGCUAAGUGUUAGGGGGUUUCCGCCCCCUUAGUGCUGCAGCUAACGCAUUAAGCACUCCGCCUGGGGAGUACGGCCGCAAGGCUG